rnacentral:rRNA from 1 species
AACCCUUGCCAUUAGUUGCUACGAAAGGGCACUCUAAUGGGACUGCCGGUGACAAACCGGAGGAAGUGGGGAUGACGUCAAGUCCUCAUGGCCCUUAUACGGUGGGGCUACACACGUCAUACAAUGGCCGGUACAGAGGGUAGCCAACCCGCGAGGGGGAGCCAAUCCCACAAAGCCGGUCGUAGUCCGGAUCGCAGUCUGCAACUCGACUGCGUGAAGUCGGAAUCGCUAGUAAUCGCGGAUCAGCAUGUCGCGGUGAAUACGUUCCCGGGUCUU